GAUGAACGCUGGCGGCGUGCCUAAUACAUGCAAGUCGAGCGAACGGACGAGAAGCUUGCUUCUCUGAUGUUAGCGGCGGACGGGUGAGUAACACGUGGAUAACCUACCUAUAAGACUGGGAUAACUUCGGGAAACCGGAGCUAAUACCGGAUGAUAUUUUGAACCGCAUGGUUCAAAAGUGAAAGACGGUCUUGCUGUCACUUAUAGAUGGAUCCGCGCUGCAUUAGCUAGUUGGUAAGGUAACGGCUUACCAAGGCAACGAUGCAUAGCCGACCUGAGAGGGUGAUCGGCCACACUGGAACUGAGACACGGUCCAGACUCCUACGGGAGGCAGCAGUAGGGAAUCUUCCGCAAUGGGCGAAGGCCUGACGGAGCAACGCCGCGUGAGUGAUGAAGGUCUUCGGAUCGUAAAACUCUGUUAUUAGGGAAGAACAUAUGUGUAAGUAACUGUGCACAUCCUGACGGUACCUAAUCAGAAAGCCACGGCUAACUACGUG
rnacentral:rRNA from 1 species